CACAGAAUGACCAUAUCACAGUUCUGAAAAACUUGGAAGAAAAAAUAAUCAAGGAAACAACGUUCUCUCUUUUGUUCCUCUAAUAAAUGAGGCAGGAGUGACAGUCUUAAACACAACAUACAGGAAGCAAAAUUAUGGUUCCCACGGUAAGGUUAAACAACACAGUAUUGGCGUAGGAAAGAAAGCUAAUUAGUUCUAGGAGCAGCCCAUUCAACUCUAAGGAUGAGAUUGUCAUAACCAUAGCCAUUCAGCUUGUUUAUGGCCCUCUCAGCAUCUUCUCUGUUGACGAAGUUGACAAAACCAAAUCCUCUGCUCAUUCCAGUCUUUUGAUCAAU
rnacentral:lncRNA from 1 species